GACACGACUCUCGGCAAUGGAUAUCUCGGCUCUCGCAUCGAUGAAGAGCGCAGCGAAAUGCGAUACUUGGU
rnacentral:rRNA from 1 species